GGUGAACGCUGGCGGCGUGCCUAAGACAUGCAAGUCGAGCGGGGCAGGUUUAUACCUGUUCAGCGGCGGACGGGUGAGUAACGCGUGGGUGACCUACCCGGAAGAGGCGGACAACCUGGGGAAACCCAGGCUAAUCCGCCAUGUGGUCCUGUCCUGUGGGGCAGGACUAAAGGGGCGACCCGCUUCCGGAUGGGCCCGCGUCCCAUCAGCUAGUUGGUGGGGUAAAGGCCCACCAAGGCGACGACGGGUAGCCGGGCUGAGAGGAUGGCAGGCCACAGGGGCACUGAGACACGGGCCCCACUCCGACGGGAGGCAGCAGUGAGGAAGCUGCCGCAAUGGACGGAAGUCUGACGGAGCGACGCCGCGUGGAGGAGGAAGCCCUUCGGGGUGUAAACUCCUGAACUGGGGACGAAAGCCCCGUGUAGGGGGAUGACGGUACCCAGGUAAUAGCGCCGGCCAACUCCGUG
rnacentral:rRNA from 1 species